UAUGCAACACACAUACUUCCAACAAAACCCCUACUUUUACCCAUUUUCCAGCAAUACCAACUAGGAACUUAUCUACCGGUUUAAUCUAGUAUAUUGUCUACUUCAAAUGAACAAAGAAUCGAAAACCCAAUACAACUUUUCCUAUAAGAUUACAGUUAGGCCAAAAGUGUUUCUUUACCUAGAACUCUUUUAGAAUCUGGGAUGAUCUCCUUCCAACUAAAAUCCUGGUCCUUAGCAUUUCCCUAACAUAUAAGAGCUCAAGGUUAAGAAAUUUUAAUUAGAUAAAGCUUUCAUUUCAACCAUCAACCUAUGCCAGGUUAAAAUUCAGAAAUAUAGACUUACCACUUACAAGAGUUUCUCCCUGGUUUACUUUCCUCUCUUGGAUCUCCUUAGCUUCCUUAUUUGAUCAACUAGCUACUGAAUCGUGUUCUCACAAUUUAAUCCCAUUUCAUCUUCAUAUUAACUGAUAGAUGCAAGCACUUCAUUUUGAUAACCAAAACGAUAUGUAUGAAACACGUCUAACU
rnacentral:lncRNA from 1 species